UCCUACGGGACGCAGCAGUAGGGAAUUUUCGUCAAUGGGCGCAAGCCUGAACGAGCAAUGCCGCGUGAACGAGGAAGGUCUUCGGAUCGUAAAGUUCUGUUGAAGGGGAAAAAGAGCGGAGAGAGGAAAUGAACUCCGAUUGAUAUUACCCUUCGAGGAAGUCACGGCUAACUACGUGCCAGCAGCCGCGGUAAUACGUAGGUGGCGAGCGUUAUCCGGACUGAUUGGGCGUAAAGGGUGCGUAGGCGGCCUGCUAAGUCUGGAGUGUAAGGUACCGGC
rnacentral:rRNA from 1 species